rnacentral:ncRNA from 1 species
CUUGAAGACUACAAGGUUAAUAGGCUAGGUGUGUAAGAGCAGUAAUGCUUUCAGCUGACUGGUACUAAUAGAACGUUCGUCUUUAUCUA